UGACGUAGAAGUAUUCAAAUCAUGAAUCAUUUUGAUUGCUAGAAACUACACUUCAAGAGCUUCAUCCUCACCAAAAAUCUUGGUCAAGUCUAGGAAAAUUUAUUCAACUUGACUUCAAAAUCUGAAACGUUUUGGCAGGCAAAAAAAGGGGAAAAUUCUUGUUCAAAAGGAUGGCCCAUGCAUGAAGAAACUAGUUUUAGGGUCAAAGAGACUAGUAUUGUCUCCGCCUUAAGACUGACAAAUUACAGCUUAAGGUGCGAGAGACUAAUUGCCUCCGCCUUAAGACUGCAAAUUAGAGCUCCUUUUAAUGACAAACCCAUGAAGCAGCCAGCUUAGGGUGUGAGACUAAAAUUGCCUCCACCUUGAGAUUGCAAAUUAGAGCUCUUUUUAAUUACAAAUCCAUGAAGCAAUCAGUUUAGGGUGUGAGAGACUCAAACUAUCUCCACAUUGAAACUGCAAAUUAGAGCUAUUUUAUGAAAAAUCUAUGAUGAAAGCAGCUCAAAGUGAAAGAAACUAAAAAAGAUUGCUGCCUUAUGACCGGCAAAUCUGAGAUCCUCUUAAUGGACGAACUAUGAAGAAACAGCUUAAGGUCUAUCACAUUAAAAUUUGCACUUGUU